GACGAACGCUGGCGGCGUGCUUAACACAUGCAAGUCGAACGGAAAGGCCCUGCUGUUGUGGGGUGCUCGAGUGGCGAACGGGUGAGUAACACGUGAGUAACCUGCCCUUGACUUUGGGAUAACUUCAGGAAACUGGGGCUAAUACCGGAUAGGAGCUCCUGCUGCAUGGUGGGGGUUGGAAAGUUUCGGCGGUUGGGGAUGGACUCGCGGCUUAUCAGCUUGUUGGUGGGGUAGUGGCUUACCAAGGCUUUGACGGGUAGCCGGCCUGAGAGGGUGACCGGCUACAGUGGGACGGAGAUACGGCCCCGACUCCUACGGGAGGCAGCAGUGCGGAAUAUUGCACAAUGAGCGGAAGACUGAUGCAGCAACGCCGCGUGCGGGAUGACGGCCUUCGGGUUGUAAACCGCUUUCGCCUGUGACGAAGCGUGAGUGACGGUAACGGGUAAAGAAGCACCGGCUAACUACGUG
rnacentral:rRNA from 1 species